UACGUAGGUGGCAAGCGUUGUCCGGAUUUACUGGGCGUAAAGAGCGCGCAGGCGGUCGUCCAAGUCGCGUGUGAAAGCCCCCGGCUCAACUGGGGAGGGUCACGCGAUACUGGUCGACUCGAAGGCAGGAGAGGGUAGUGGAAUUCCCGGUGUAGUGGUGAAAUGCGUAGAGAUGUGGAGGAACACCGAUGGCGAAGGCAGGUCUCUGGGCCACUACUGACGCUGAGAAGCGAAAGCAUGGGGAGCGAACAGG
rnacentral:rRNA from 1 species